rnacentral:rRNA from 1 species
CCCUUAGAUGUUCUGGGCGGCCCGCGCACUACAUUGGCACUCUCAAUAAGUUCCUAGAUCUAAAACUUUGGGGUAUUCUAUUAAGUGGUGUCGUGACUGGGAUUAACCCUUGCAAUUAUUGGUUACGAACGAGGAAUUCCUUGUAAUCGCGGUUUAUCAGCCCGCGUUGAAUGCGUCCCUGCCCUUUGCACACACCGCCCGUCGCUCCUACCGAUGAAUCGUCCGGUGAAGUUCAUGGAGUGGUGGUUGUUCCAGCUGCUGUCGAAGUGAAAUGGACCUCACGAUUUAGAGGAAGGAGAAGUCGUAACA